CCUACGGGUGGCAGCAGUGGGGAAUAUUGCUCAAUGGGGGCAACCCUGAACCAGCAACGUCGCGUGAGUGAUGAAGUAUCUCCGUAUGUAAAGCUCCUUCAGCAGGGAAUUGAAAUGAAGGUACCGUAACAAUAAGCCCCUGCUUACUACGUGCAAGCAGACGCGGUACUUCGGAGGAGGCAAGCGUUAUCCGGAUUUACUGGCUUUAAACGGAGCGUAGACGGUUAGUUAAGUCAUAAGUGAAAACCCAAGGCUCAACCAUAGGACUGCUUUUGAAACUGUCAAACUAGAGUACGGGUGAGGUAAGAGGAAUUCGUGGUGUAGCGGUGAAAUGCGUAGAUAUUACGAAGAACUCCGGUUGCGAAGGCAGCUUACUGGACUGAAACUGACGUUGAGGCUCGAAAGUGUGGGUAGCAAACAGGAUUAGAUACCCGAGUAGUC
rnacentral:rRNA from 1 species